rnacentral:rRNA from 1 species
GAUGAACGCUGGCGGCGUGCCUAAUACAUGCAAGUCGAACGCAUUGUGGUUGAAAUGAUAUGAAGAACUUGUUCAGAUUUGAUUUUCAACAUUGCAAUGAGUGGCGAACGGGUGAGUAACACGUGGGAAACCUACCUCUUAGCAGGGGAUAACAUUUGGAAACAAAUGCUAAUACCGUAUAAUAAUUAAAACCGCAUGGUUUUAGUUUAAAAGAUGGUCUUGCUAUCACUAAGAGAUGGUCCCGCGGUGUAUUAGUUAGUUGGUGAGGUAAUGGCUCACCAAGACAAUGAUACAUAGCCGAGUUGAGAGACUGACCGGCCACAAUGGGACUGAGACACGGCCCAUACUCCUACGGGAGGCAGCAGUAGGAAUCUUCCACAAUGGACGAAAGUCUGAUGGAGCAACGCGCGUGUGUGAUGAAGGGUUUCGGCUCGU